GAAGUCGUUACUCCAACCCUUGUGGAGGAGGACGCCGAAGGUGGGGCUAAUGACUGGGGUGAAGUCGUAACAAGGUAGCCGUACCGGAAGGUGCGGCUGGAUCACCUCCUAACAGGGAGACAACAAAAUGUAAAUAUUAAUUUUGUCACCUUAGGUCGAUCGGUAUCUCAGAUUCUUAAUUAUUUAAGAAUUUCAGUUUCUAAGUUUUUUCUAGGUCACACCCAUCACUUUUUCCUGGGCCAUUAGCUCAGGUGGUUAGAGCGCACCCCUGAUAAGGGUGAGGUCCCUGGUUCAAGUCCAGGAUGGCCCAUAUCUCUAUGUUGGGGGUAUAGCUCAGUUGGUAGAGCGCCUGCUUUGCAAGCAGGAUGUCAGCGGUUCGAGUCCGCUUACCUCCACUGAAUACCACCUCUUACAUAUAUUUAAAGAGGGAAAUUGUUUUGAGUCGUGUCCUAUUUUGCUCUGAGCGAAUCUAGCUUCCUAUUUUAUUAAAUAAAUAAGAUGCUGGACUCAUUGAAUUUUUUUUUCAUUGUUUUCAGAGAACCUUGACAACUGCAUAGAUUAUUUUUGAAGACAAUAAGCAUCUUUAAUGAUGCAGAUUUGUUAUUUGUGCGAAUGCAUUAAAUAACAAUUCUAUUAAGCUGAUGCUUCAAUUAUUGAAGUUAUUGGUCAAGCUACAAAGGGCUCACGGAGGAUACCUAGGCACACAGAGGCGAUGAA
rnacentral:misc_RNA from 1 species